rnacentral:rRNA from 1 species
GAUGAACGCUAGCGGCAGGCUUAACACAUGCAAGUCGAGGGGCAGCGUGGAGUAGCAAUACUCUGACGGCGACCGGCGAAAGGGUGAGUAACGCGUGAGCAACAUGCCCGGUACUGGGGGAUAGUCGAUGGAAACGUCGCGUAAUACCCCGUAACAACAGGGGCCGCAUGGUCUUUGUUUAAGAGAUUCAUUGAUACCGGAUUGGCUCGCGUACCAUUAGCUAGUUGGCGGGGUAACGGCCCACCAAGGCGACGAUGGUUAGGGGUUCUGAGAGGAAGGUCCCCCACAUUGGAACUGAGACACGGUCCAGACUCC